rnacentral:rRNA from 1 species
UACGGGGGAGCAAGCGUUGUUCGGAUUUACUGGGCGUAAAGGGCGCGUAGGCGGCCACCGCAAGUCAGUUGUGAAAUCUCUGGGCUUAACCCAGAAAGGUCAACUGAUACUGCGGGGCUAGAGUGCAGAAGGGGCAACUGGAAUUCUCGGUGUAGCGGUGAAAUGCGUAGAUAUCGAGAGGAACACCUGCGGCGAAGGCGGGUUGCUGGGCUGACACUGACGCUGAAGCGCGAAAGCUAGGGGAGCGAACGGG